rnacentral:lncRNA from 1 species
GAGCAUUUAAGAGCGUUCGCAGAGUUGGAAGAUAAGCUUCCUCAAAGCACUCCUGGUUCGAUCUAUUUGCAUAAGCAUAUAAAGGGAAGAAAACUCCCAGACAAUGCCUAAGUUGAGUGUCCUCUUCAGUCACAGGAUUAUACCACAACAAAACGAGACGUGAAAGAAGUUUGGCACUUAUCAGCCUCCCAGAAAACAUCAGUUUGGCUAUGCCUUCUGCAGCUUCCGUUCUGAGUUCUGAAAACUCACUGUCUAAGAAACCAUAAAGAAGCUGCAGGAAGCUGUGAAUUGUAGCACUCUCUUCUUUCUUCUCUGUUGUUUCACCUUCU